AAGACUGUAGAAGAAUAGAUAUAUGUUCUUCAAAUGGAACGGUAUAACUCAAUUAUGACAUGCCAACCAAGUCAAAACCUUACUAGUUUUGAUGAAAUACAAAAAGAGUACACGACCAAGAAUUUAGCUGUUUCUGAUUUUUUUCCUUUUUUGUUCUGAACAAAAGCAAAUAACUGACAAAGUGGCACUUCUGCGCACCAAAAAAAAAAAAAAUACAUGAGUAAACUGUGAGUUCGCGUCACAGAAGUGGCACCACAGAUCCUCAUUAUUAGGGCAAGGCAUAUCAAACAUAACGGAUCUGGAAUGACAAUAACCAUUUUUUUAAAGUAAUCUCCACUAGUGCUAUACUAAUAGAAUGACAGUAUUUCUUUUUACAAAUGCUGAUUCAAAGUAAAACUUUAAUACACAAUUAUAUGACUAGAAUACAAUUAAGAUGAUAUGAAAAUGAAAUUCAGACAAAAAAAAAAGACUUACAAAAAAAUAAAUUAUUGAUUUUUAUUACUAUAUCAUCCCAGUUGUAUAAGAGCCGUAUAACAAUCUAUUAAAUAACAUUUUUUAUUAAUUCAAUAAUUAAUUUUUAUUAUCAUAUCCUCAAGUUGUAUGAAAAUUAUAUAUGCGAUCUAAAUGAAACAUUAGUUCCAAAUAAGUCCACCAGAUUGGACAUCCGCUGCAAAGAAAUUCUAAAGUAUGAUACAUGGACGACAAUUUAGAACAGGCACACAUAAACUAAACCCAGCCGGCCAGUCCCCUCCUUCCCCCUCCCCUUUUUCUAACACACACAAACACAUAUAUGGACACACACGACAAAGCUAGGCAUGGAAACAAUUUACAGAGACUGAGUCAGAGAGAGAGAGAGAGAAAGAGAGAGAUGGUGGUAAGGAUGACAGAUAGAGAGUAAGCACGCAGAGAUUCAAGCAUGAAACACGGCAUGCAAGAAAUACCAUGUGUGCUCACUCUCUUCUGUCACCUCCCUUACCCUUGAGAUUACUCUUCCAUAAAAAGAAAAAAAAAAAAAAGGAGAUCGCCGCGCGGCCGCUACUGAUCUCUUUUGCUCUAUCUUCCCCCAAACCCCAACAGCCUGCUUCAUGAUCUUAGAAGCAAAGCUAGCU
rnacentral:precursor_RNA from 1 species